UAUCCGGAAUAUUGGGCGUAAAGGGCUCGUAGGCGGUUCGUCGCGUCCGGUGUGAAAGUCCAUCGCUUAACGGUGGAUCCGCGCCGGGUACGGGCGGGCUUGAGUGCGGUAGGGGAGACUGGAAUUCCCGGUGUAACGGUGGAAUGUGUAGAUAUCGGGAAGAACACCAAUGGCGAAGGCAGGUCUCUGGGCCGUUACUGACGCUGAGGAGCGAAAGCGUGGGGAGCGAACAGGAUUAGAUACCCUGGUAGUCCACGCCGUAAACGGUGGAUGCUGGAUGUGGGGCCCGUUCCACGGGUUCCGUGUCGGAGCUAACGCGUUAAGCAUCCCGCCUGGGGAGUACGGCCGCACGGCUAAACUUAACGAAA
rnacentral:rRNA from 1 species